UACGGAGGGAGCUAGCGUUGUUCGGAUCUACUGGGCGUAAAGCGCACGUAGGCGGCGCAGCAAGUCAGGGGUGAAAUCCCGGAGCUCAACUCCGGAACUGCCUUUGAAACUGCAGUGCUAGAAUCCUGGAGAGGCGAGUGGAAUUCCGAGUGUAGAGGUGAAAUUCGUAGAUAUCGGGAGGAACACCAGUGGCGAAGGCGGCGACCUGGGCCAAUAUUGACGCUGAGGUGCGAAAGCGUGGGGAGAAAACAGG
rnacentral:rRNA from 1 species